UCCUGGCUCAGGAUGAACGCUAGCUACAGGCUUAACACAUGCAAGUCGAGGGGUAGCAGGGUAGCAAUACCGCUGACGACCGGCGCACGGGUGAGUAACACGUAUCCAACCUUCCCAUAACUCAGGGAUAGCCUUUCGAAAGAAAGAUUAAUACCUGAUAGUACUUUCUCAAGGCAUCUUGAAAAGGUUAAAGAUUUAUUGGUUAUGGAUGGGGAUGCGUUCCAUUAGAUAGUUGGUGAGGUAACGGCUCACCAAGUCUUCGAUGGAUAGGGGUUCUGAGAGGAAGGUCCCCCACAUUGGUGCUGAGACACGGACCAAACUCCUACGGGAGGCAGCAGUGAGGAAUAUUGGUCAAUGGGCGAGAGCCUGAACCAGCCAAGUAGCGUGAAGGAUGAAGGUCCUAUGGAUUGUAAACUUCUUUUAUAGUAGAAUAAAGUGAGCCACGUGUGGUUUUUGUAUGUAUACUAUGAAUAAGGAUCGGCUAACUCCGUGCCAGCAGCUGC
rnacentral:rRNA from 1 species